GUUUGAAAGUGUUCCAAGUGCAUCGUUAAUCAAUUUGUUGCCAAUUAUCCAAGAUGUUGCAAAGUGCGUCGUCAAAGCGAAGGAUUUAUGACACAUUUGAACCCGCAACAAACCAAAACCGAAAAAAUGGUAAAAACCGAGCAGCGAUAUCAACAAUUCACCAUCUUAAUGCAACCGUUUUCCUACGCGCGCCCGCAAAUUACCCGCUAGCGAAUUUUCCAUUUUCAAGACGC